rnacentral:rRNA from 1 species
CUAUGCGCCUUGCCAGCCCGCUCAGGUGUGCCAGCCGCCGCGGUAAUACGUAGGUGGCAAGCGUUGUCCGGAUUUACUGGGUGUAAAGGGCGUGUAGCCGGGCUGACAAGUCAGAUGUGAAAUCCGGGGGCUCAACCCCCGAACUGCAUUUGAAACUGUUGGUCUUGAGUAUCGGAGAGGCAGGCGGAAUUCCUAGUGUAGCGGUGAAAUGCGUAGAUAUUAGGAGGAACACCAGUGGCGAAGGCGGUCUGCUGGACAGCAACUGACGCUGAGGCGCGAAAGCGUGGGGAGCAAACAGG